rnacentral:rRNA from 1 species
AACUUAAAUGAAUUGACGGGGCCCGCACAAGCGGCGGAGCAUGUGGAUUAAUUCGAUGCAACGCGAAGAACCUUACCUGGGUUUGACAUACACCGGAAAACCGUAGAGAUACGGUCCCCCUUGUGGUCGGUGUACAGGUGGUGCAUGGCUGUCGUCAGCUCGUGUCGUGAGAUGUUGGGUUAAGUCCCGCAACGAGCGCAACCCUUGUCUUAUGUUGCCAGCACGUAAUGGUGGGGACUCGUAAGAGACUGCCGGGGUCAACUCGGAGGAAGGUGGGGACGACGUCAAGUCAUCAUGCCCCUUAUGUCCAGGGCUUCACACAUGCUACAAUGGCCAGUACAGAGGGCUGCGAGACCGUGAGGUGGAGCGAAUCCCUUAAAGCUGGUCUCAGUUCGGAUCGGGGUCUGCAACUCGACCCCGUGAAGUCGGAGUCGCUAGUAAUCGUGAAUCAGAAUGUCACGGUGAAUACGUUCCCGGGCCUU